GCCUUCGUGGUGUAAUGGUAGCACGCUCGACGCGUAGUCGAGAGAUCCAGAGUUCGAGUCCCGGUGAGGGCA
rnacentral:tRNA from 1 species